rnacentral:sRNA from 1 species
CUGCUGCCAUCCCCACCAGCCGCCGUCGGAGGAGCCAGCGCGACUGCCAUUCCCUCAGCUGCUUCGAUGACUUCUACCAGGGCUGCUUCCGCAUCUUCUGUUCACGUUCCUGUUUCUGCUCUUGGUGCAGGAUCUGCAGCUACUGCUGCAUCAGAAGAAAUGUAUGUGCCAAGAGUUGUAACCUCUGCACAACAGAAAGCAGGAAGAACUAUUACAGCCCGGAUCACAGGAAGAUGUGAUUUUGCUUCAAAAAAUAGAAUUAGCAGCAGUUUAGCUAUAAUGGGAGUUUCUCCUCCCAUGAGCUCAGUUGUUGUGGAAAAACAUCAUCCAGUCACAGUGGUGAGUCCACAUUUGAUGACCUUUUGUCAAAAAGUCUUUUUCCUGAGAGUUCAUAGACUAGUAAACACUUACAUAACAUGUUGAGAAGAUAAAAAUUUAUAAUGACUGGUACUUGUUCUGCCUUUUCCUGAUACAGUUUGUUUUUUUUUUUAAAUAUAUAUACUGCUAUAAAUCUACUUUUCUGCUGUUGGGAAAUUAAUUUCAGAAACAUCAUUUCUUCCAAACUGUAAAAAUUAU